rnacentral:rRNA from 1 species
GUGCCAGCAGCCGCGGUAAUACCGGCAGCACGAGUGAUGGCCGAUAUUAUUGGGCCUAAAGCGUCCGUAGCUUGCUGUGUAAGUCCAUUGGGAAAUCGACGCUCUCAACGUGUCGGUGUCCGGUGGAGACUACACGGCUUGGGGCCGAGAGACUCGACGGGUACGUCCGGGGUAGGAGUGAAAUCCUGUAAUCCUGAACGGACCACCAAUGGGGAAACCACGUCGAGAGACCGGACCCGACAGUGAGGGACGAAAGCCAGGGUCUCGAACCGGAUUAGAUACCCCAGUAGUCC